GUUUUGAAAGGUAAAGGCCAUUAGCUUGGAGGCAGAAGACAGACCUCCCUGACUGCUGAAUUGGCUUCUCCCAGCUUGUAGGAGAAAUGCCUUGCAGGUGAAGAUGGUGAGGAGGUUGGCCCUGAAAUAGCCCAGCCCCUCGAAGAGACAAACAGGGAGGAGCGUCAUUCAGGUGCUUCUCUGGGAAAUGAACCAGCCAGGAUAAUGCUCAUCUUAAAAUAACCUACUUCAAUGAACAUUCAGCCAAAAGACAAAAGGAAGGUAUUGCUAGGUAGUGUGCAGCCACUCUGUCAUAGUCAGAGUCUCCUUCAAGCAGGUAGCUACAUCCCACAAAACAACUACCCAUCUGACCAUGCAAGAACAUUUUUAUUCCCUGAAAAGAAACUCUUGGUGCUGAGUGGUCUUCUUCUGCCCUGACAUCUCACCUUUCAAACGCUUGUUUCUUCUCACCCCACCCACCACUUAGCAUGUGCUCUUGGAGAACACCCAGGACUCAGGGUCUCUGCACACAUCAUGAGUCCAGCUCAGCAUUUGAGGUGGAAUCAGAGGAAAGGAAGGAGAGUGGGGAGAAUAGUCAGUAUUUUGGCAAGCUCAUCAUACCUUCCCCCUUUGUAUAGAAACUUCAAACCAAUUUCCCUUUGAAGGCACUACCUCCUUCCCCCAGUUAUAAAUGAGUGAAGGUCUCAAGCCUGGACAACCAAAUGAGGAAAAUCCUACCAGCACAAAGGCAUGGAGGUGCCAGGAUGCCUCCUCUGCCUGAAGAGUAGAUGUAGAUGAGGCUGGAAUUGUCUAUCCUAGCUGCCCAGACCCAUGUGCCUUUGUUUUAUGUCGUUACAGCACCUAUGAUACAUAUUUGCUACCACGUACGUCACUAUGAACCUCCUCUGGAGGACGGAGAAGUCAAAUACCUUAAUUAUUCCAACACAAGCUUGCGUGAACAGAUAAUCAUCACUACGAGUAUAUUGUGUGCCUGCUAAGCACCACGCCUGAGAUGAGCAUGCAUUUUGCAUACAUUAUCUGUCUUAUUAAAAAUAAUGUUUUACUGCAGCAUCGAGGAAAGUAAAACCAAUAGCUACCAUGUUCAGUAGUCCCCUUUACCCAUGGUA
rnacentral:lncRNA from 1 species